UACGUAGGAUGCAAGCGUUGUCCGGAAUUAUUGGGCGUAAAGAGCGCGCAGGCGGCCUAUCAAGUCAGAUGUGAGAUAACCAGGCUUAACCUGGUGGGGUCAUUUGAAACUGGCAGGCUAGAGUACAGCAGAGGAUAGCGGAAUUCCCGGUGUAGUGGUGAAAUGCGUAGAUAUCGGGAGGAACACCAGUGGCGAAGGCGGCUCUCUGGGCCUUACCUGACGCUGAGGAGCGAAAGCGUGGGUAGCGAACAGG
rnacentral:rRNA from 1 species